rnacentral:rRNA from 1 species
GACGAACGCUGGCGGCGUGCUUAACACAUGCAAGUCGAACGGAAAAGCGCUGCUUUUGUUGGGGGCUGGGGUGGCGAGCGGGUGAGUAACGCGAGAGUAACCUGCCCUGCACUCUGGGAUAACUUCAGGACACUGGGGCGAAGACCGUAUAGGAGCUCCUGCUGCAUUGGGGGGGUUGGAAAGUGUCGGCGGUUGGGUCUGGACUCGCGGCUCAUCAGCUUGUUGGUGGGGUAGUGGCGUACGAAGGCUUUGACGGGUAGCCGGCCUGAGAGGGUGACCGGCCACACUGGGACUGCGAUACGGGGCAGACGCGUACGGGAGGGAGCAGUGGGGGAUAUCGCAAAGUGGGCGCAAGGCUGAUGGGACGGCGCCGUGUGGGUGGUGAAGCUCUUCGGGUUGUAAACCGCUUUCGCCUGGGAUGAAGCGGGAGUGACGGUAACGGGUAAAGAAGCACCGGCUAACUACGUG